rnacentral:rRNA from 1 species
UUGCCAGACUCCUACGGGAGGCAGCAGUGGGGAAUAUUGCACAAUGGGCGCAAGCCUGAUGCAGCCAUGCCGCGUGUAUGAAGAAGGCCUUAGGGUUGUAAAGUACUUUCAGCGGGGAGGAAGGUGAUAAGGUUAAUACCCUUGUCAAUUGACGUUACCCGCAGAAGAAGCACCGGCUAACUCCGUGCCAGCAGCCGCGGUAAUACGGAGGGUGCAAGCGUUAAUCGGAAUUACUGGGCGUAAAGCGCACGCAGGCGGUCAAUUAAGGCAGAUGUGAAAGCCCCUAGCUUAACGUGGGAAUUGCAUCUGAAACUGGUUGGCUAGAGUCUUGUAGAGGGGGGUAGAAUUCCAUGUGUAGCGGUGAAAUGCGUAGAGAUGUGGAGGAAUACCGGUGGCGAAGGCGGCCCCCUGGACAAAGACUGACGCUCAGGUGCGAAAGCGUGGGGAGCAAACAGGAUUAGAUACCCUAGUACAU